rfam:Ovis aries breed Texel chromosome 7, whole genome shotgun sequence.
UCCUUGGUGGCUCAGAUGGUAAAAGCAUCUGCCCACAAUGCAGGAGACCCGGGUUCAAUCCCUGGGUCGGGAA